GGUAUUGGAGGCUUCUACAAUAUCAUGUCUUAGAGGAGUUCUGAUUCAUUACCUCAUCUGUUGGGUUGUCGUGCCUAAUUCCAGUAAGUUCUUUUAAGGUUAUCCUUCUGUAAAACAUUUGAUCUUCCAGCGUCCCUUGAGUACUUUUAUCUAUCUCCAUCACUUUUGGUAAAGUUUCUUCGGUGGAGUGGCUAUAAAAAAGUUAGUAAAUGAAGAUAUAUUAUGAAAUUCUAUAUGACCAGAACCUACAAAUUGUGCUUAAUACCUGGCACGAAGUUCCCAAGUCUCGGGUAUAUCUAGAUUCGUAUAUAAUCUUGUGGCGCUAGUUGACUUUAGGCACAAACCUAUUUAAUGAACAAUAAAUUGGUUAGAUUUAUUAUUUUGGUAUGAAAAAAAGACAUGGAAACAUAUUCAACUUACCAUUGAAUUUUUGCACCAUUGUUGAGGUAACAAUAAUAAUUGUUUGAUUGCCAAUUACAUCCUCACUUAAAUGAUGAGUUAAUCUUCCCCAUAAUGAUACUCUGAUUCUAUCACCCCUGAAUAAUUCAUUCCAAAGUAAUUAAUGGUAAUAAUAAUAUAAGUGGAAGAAAAUAGCCUUUACCCUUUAGUGAAAAGCUGAUACAUGGAUAUACACUUACUCUGGCAUUAGAAUUUCAAUCUGACAUACAUCUGCAGGUGUUUUCUUCUUUGUUAUCCUUGAUUCUAUUGGCUUAAUCUUGGUAAGUAACCCAAUGACAUCUGCAAAUUAGAAGAUUAAAGACUUCAAACAUUAGAAAGUUAUUCAUUUGAGUUUAUUAAUACAACUACCAAGAAAUGACAUCAAAUUUAAAUUGCCCACUUGGAUGUAAGAAUAUGACUAUCAACAUACCUGAGCAUUGUUGGUCUUUUUCUAGACGUUCUUGUAGGGUAUCUUUGCUAGCAAACUCAAAGUAGUAAUCUAGAAAAUUAUCCGAUGAACCUUUCAUCUCCUUUAAUUUUGUGUUGAAUAAAAUAAUAAUUUUAAUUUCAUUGCUGACUGGUCGAUAUUUUGUCGAAUCUACAACUUUAAAAUUGCUAAAAGCAUAUAUAGAACCCUAGUUGAUCUUUGCUCUGUAAGUGUCUAUUAGAUUCUUCCAAAUAGUAGCAUGAACUAUAUGGCCCUUCAAAAUUUAAUGAAAGAAAAAUCUUAGUAGUAAUUUUAACAAUAAAACAAUCCCCACUGUUAAUUAUGUGAAGAAAAUACCUGCUCAUCCAUCAAGAUCAAAUCGAUGCUUAUAAGUUCAUCAGUCAAAGGAUUGAUCGAGUCCCACAUUCUCAUUACUUUGGCUUUAAUAUUCCAUGUCUGUCCUCUUGUGGUUAACUCACUCAACUUCGUGUAGGCCAUAGAGACGUUGCCCUCAAAACAAUUUUAGAAGGAGUGGUUCAUAUGAUAAUACAAUAAUGAAAUUUGGUUAGAAAGAAGUGCUCUAACUAAUGGUUAAUGAACAGGAAAACAUGGUGUUCAUAAGGAGGUUGCAAAGACAUGCAGGGAUGGAAAGAUGUAAACAGACCUCAAGAUUUAAGCUAUAUAUAUUACCCAAACUUAAUGUUUUUGUCGUUUCUUCUUCUGUCCUUCGAUGUGCUGGGCGUCCCGACAUAUGUCGCCCCUUCGAUUUGUGUGGAUAUGUUGUUGUGUUAAUCUCCCUUCAAUGGGUGUUCCGGCGUCUAUUAUUCCGUGGGCGUUCUGGGGUGUCUGCCCCAACCUUUAUAUUAGUCAAAGGUUGUUGAGUUUGAAUUCUGUACGGAUGACUAUCCGCUGUAAAUUAUUCUGUUUGCAAUAGUAUACGUCCGUAUCCUUGACUAAUAGCAAUCCGUUUCAAAGUCCUUCACGUGCAAUAGUAUAUGUCCGUGUACACUUGCCUAAU
rnacentral:lncRNA from 1 species